AGUGAACGCUGGCGGUAGGCCUAACACAUGCAAGUCGAACGGCAGCACAGUAAGAGCUUGCUCUUACGAGUGGCGAGUGGCGGACGGGUGAGGAAUACAUCGGAAUCUACUUUUUCGUGGGGGAUAACGUAGGGAAACUUACGCUAAUACCGCAUACGACCUACGGGUGAAAGCAGGGGAUCUUCGGACCUUGCGCGAUUGAAUGAGCCGAUGUCGGAUUAGCUAGUUGGCGGGGUAAAGGCCCACCAAGGCGACGAUCCGUAGCUGGUCUGAGAGGAUGAUCAGCCACACUGGAACUGAGACACGGUCCAGACUCCUACGGGAGGCAGCAGUGGGGAAUAUUGGACAAAGGGCGCAAGCCUGAUCCAGCCAUACCGCGUGGGUGAAGAAGGCCUUCGGGUUGUAAAGCCCUUUUGUUGGGAAAGAAAAGCAGCAGGUUAAUACCCCGCUGUUCUGACGGUACCCAAAGAAUAAGCACCGGCUAACUUCGUG
rnacentral:rRNA from 1 species